GAUGUUUUGAGCAAAGACAUAUUGAUGAUGAUAAUGAUGAGAAACAGUUUCACUUAUGAAGGUUUGGCACGCUGGAUUUUGUAGACGAGCCAACAUACAGCAAUAUUUUAUAAAAUACGUCUAUCUGUGUCAUGUCAGUGCAUGUGUUUUCACAUGCAUCACUGAGACAUCGAAAUUGAUUUUAAUUUUUUUUAAAAUAAAAAUUUCUGGUGCUCAAUAGGUUAAUAUAAAAAUACAAGAGUAAACAGGCUUUCUCAUUGGAAUUUUAGAGCUCCUAGAUAGGCUACUUCUCAUGUUUAUGCACAUAGUAUCAACCAGUGGC
rnacentral:misc_RNA from 1 species